rnacentral:lncRNA from 1 species
AAUUCUUUUGAUUCCAGAAGGAAGAAAACUUUGCUAAUGCUCUGCCAAGCGUCACUUUUCUGUCAUGAUUGGAAGGUUUGAUGUUACUUAGAAUUACUCAUGGAAAAUGGAAGAGCUGCAGCAUUACAAUGAAAGCCAUCUUUUAACAGCCUGAGUUCCUUUUUCUUUUACCUGAGUCAGGAACAAAAAAUAUUCAUGUAUAUUCCCCAAAAGGACAAAAAAGUAUCCAAUGAAAGGGCUAGCUUGUAGAAAGGUCAGAACAUUUUAGUGCUAAAUGACACCUAAAAUCACUCUCUCUGCACACCUUGUAUUGUAAAAGAGAAAGUUAAGACCCAGAAUAAGAUCAAGAGUUUUUCAUUGGUCGUUACAAUAUUAAAGAAGUUUUGAAAUAUAUGGCUAGCUUUCUCACAUCUAUGUGCUGAUUAGACCUCAGCCAAAGACUUCAGGGGAGCCCUCUCUUGAGUUCAUAUUAAGUUAAUUAGCUUUUAGUCUUCCUAAGUCAAUUACUGAAUGUUUUGAACUUUUCACUUUAUGUUACUUUAUAUUUGUUAGGCUAUUAAACUAAUCCACGUUCUAAACUGUUAUUGCUACUGGAAAAUGGUCCCGAUCCAGAUCCCAAAAGAGGAUUCUUGGAUCUUGCACAAGAAAGAAAGGGUGAGUCCAUAAACUGAAAGCAUGUUUAUUAAGAAAGUAAAGGACAAAGAAUGGCUACUUCAUAGGCAGGGAAGCCCCGAGGGCUACUGAUUGCCCAUUUUUAUGGUUAUUUCUUGAUUAUAUUGGUAUGAACAGGAGGCAAGGAAAUAUUGGGGAGAAGGGGGCGGUUCCCUGGCAAAGACACCACCCUCAAGCUUGGAAAUCCAUGGCCCUAAAUUUGAACAGGCAUUCCUGUUUUCACACCUUAAUGUUGCUUUUUGGCCUGCCACGCCCCCCAUCCUAUACCCAUGUAAACCCUAAACCUCAGGCUCCAUGAGCAGAAGAUCAGAGGAGCAGAAGAGUGGUGCAGCAGAGAAGGAGAGAAGAGAAGGAAUGUCUAAAUGUCAAGAGGAGUUCAGCUGGGGACAGUUGGAGAGGAGAUAGGCCAUGGGACAGCCAAACUCUAGGGGAAGAUCAUCUUUCCACUCCAUCCCCUUUCCAGCUCUCCAUCCAUCCCACUGACAGCCACCUCCACCACUCAAUAAAAGUCCCAUAUUCACCAUCCUUCAAGUCUGUGUGUGACCUGAUUCUUCCUGGACACCGGACAAGGAUCCGGAUACCAGGAGGUCACUGAGCUGAUUAACACUUAAGCCAUCUGUGGACAGCAGAGCUAAGAGGCACUGUAACAUGCGCAUUGGGGUUUU